rnacentral:rRNA from 1 species
GUGGGGAAUAUUGGGCAAUGGGCGCAAGCCUGACCCAGCAACGCCGCGUGAGGGAAGAAGGCUUUCGGGUUGUAAACCUCUGUCCUUGGUGACGAAACAAAUGACGGUAGCCAAGGAGGAAGCCCCGGCUAACUACGUGCCAGCAGCCGCGGUAAUACAGAGGUCUCAAGCGUUGUUCGGAAUUAUUGGGCGUAAAGGGAGCGUAGGCGGGAAGGUGUGUCGACCUGUAAAUCUAUCGUUUCAAGCGGUAGGCUUGGGUUGAAACUGCCUUUCUAGAGGAUUUCAGGGGAGUUUGGAAUUUACGGUGUAGCAGUGAAAUGCGUGGAUAUCGUAAGGAAGGCUUGUGGCGAAGGCGAAACUCUGGGGAAUACCUGACGCUGAGGCGCGAAGGCUAGGUUAGCAAACGGGAUUAGAAACCCUGGUAGUCC